GACGAACGCUGGCGGCGUGCUUAACACAUGCAAGUCGAACGGAAAGGCCCUGCUUUUGUGGGGUGCUCGAGUGGCGAACGGGUGAGUAACACGUGAGUAACCUGCCCUUGACUUUGGGAUAACUUCAGGAAACUGGGGCUAAUACCGGAUAGGAGCUCCUGCUGCAUGGUGGGGGUUGGAAAGUUUCGGCGGUUGGGGAUGGACUCGCGGCUUAUCAGCUUGUUGGUGGGGUAGUGGCUUACCAAGGCUUUGACGGGUAGCCGGCCUGGGAGGGUGACCGGCCACAUUGGGACUGAGAUACGGCCCAGACUCCUACGGGAGGCAGCAGUGGGGAAUAUUGCACAGUGAGCGGAAGCCUGAUGCAGCAACGCCGCGUGCGGGAUGACGGCCUUCGGGUUGUAAACCGCUUUCGCCUGUGACGAAGCGGGAGUGACGGUAAUGGGUAAAGAAGCACCGGCUAACUACGUG
rnacentral:rRNA from 1 species